rnacentral:rRNA from 1 species
AGAGUUUGAUCCUGGCUCAGGAUGAACGCUAGCGGUGUGCUUAAAGCAUGCAAGUCGAACGUGAUCCUUGGAUUCGUUCAAGGUGAAAGUGGCGAACGGGUGAGUAACACGUUGGUGAUCUGCCCCGGAGUGGGGGAUAACUAUCGGAAACGAUAGCUAAUACCCCAGAUGUUAUCGUGUUUGGAAAGCGAUAACUAAAGUUCAGGCGCUCCGGGAGGAGCCUGCGUCCCAUCAGCUAGUUGGUAGGGUAAUGGCCUACCAAGGCAAAGACGGGUAGGGGGCGUGAGAGCGUGGCCCCCCACACUGGUACUGACACACGGACCAGAUGCCUACGGGUAGCAGCAGCUAGGAAUAUUGGGCAAUGGGCGAAAGCCUGACCCAGCAACACCGCGUGAAGGACGAAGGCCUUCGGGUUGUAAACUUCUUUUCGAGGGAAAGAGAAAGGACGGUACCCUCGGAAUAAGGCCCGGCUAACUACGUGCCAGCAGCCGCGGUAAUACGUAGGGGCCAAGCGUUAUCCGGAUUUACUGGGCGUAAAGCGCAUGUAGGCGGUCGAUCAAGUCGGAUGUGAAAGCUCCUGGCUUAACUGGGAGAGGUCAUUCGAAACUAGUCGGCUGGAGGGUGGUAGAGGAGAGCGGAAUUCCAGGUGUAGCGGUGAAAUGCGUAGAUAUCUGGAGGAACACCAGUGGCGAAAGCGGCUCUCUGGACCAUUCCUGACGCUGAGAUGCGAAAGCCAGGGGAGAGAACGGGAUUAGAAACCCCGGUAUUCCUGGCCGUAAACGAUGUCAACUAGGCGUAGGAGGUUAUAAACCCCUUCUGUGCUGUAGCAAACGCGUUAAGUUGACCGCCUGGGGACUACGGCCGCAAGGCUAAAACUCAAAGGAAUUGACGGGUCCCCGCACAAGCAGCGGAGCGUGUGGUUUAAUUCGAGGCUACGCGAAGAACCUUACCAGGGUUUGACAUGCUAGUGGUAGUGAAGCGAAAGCGGAACGACCCUUCGGGGAGCUAGCACAGGUGCUGCAUGGCUGUCGUCAGCUCGUGUCGUGAGAUGUCAGGUUAAGUCCUGUAACGAGCGCAACCCUCGUCGUUAGUUA